rnacentral:rRNA from 1 species
GAUGAACGCUGGCGGCGUGCCUAAUACAUGCAAGUCGAGCGAACAGACGAGGAGCUUGCUCCUCUGACGUUAGCGGCGGACGGGUGAGUAACACGUGGAUAACCUACCUAUAAGACUGGGAUAACUUCGGGAAACCGGAGCUAAUACCGGAUAAUAUAUUGAACCGCAUGGUUCAAUAGUGAAAGACGGUUUUGCUGUCACUUAUAGAUGGAUCCGCGCCGCAUUAGCUAGUUGGUAAGGUAACGGCUUACCAAGGCAACGAUGCGUAGCCGACCUGGGAGGGUGAUCGGCCACACUGGAACUGAGACACGGUCCAGACUCCUACGGGAGGAAGCAGUAGGGAAUCUUACGCAAUGGGCGAAAGCCUGACGGAGCAACGCCGCGUGAGUGAUGAAGGUCUUCGGAUCGUAAAACUCUGUUAUUAGGGAAGAACAAAUGUGUAAGUAACUAUGCACGUCUUGACGGUACCUAAUCAGAAAGCCACGGCUAACUACGUG